rnacentral:misc_RNA from 1 species
AACUAACGCUAUUAUUGAUACAGUUUCUGUACUAUAUUGGUAUGAGAAGCUUCCGGGUCCGCCGCUAACACCGGUUGAUUCUGGCAAAUUUUGGGAUGGG